AAACAUUGACUGCAUAAUAUGACUCUUCCUGACAUCUAUUGGCGACGAGAUAAAGUAUAUUACCGGGACAUUCAAAUUGGUAUUUGUGACAUUAAAAAAAGAUAAAAAAUUAAAGACAUUUUAAUUUUUUGUGAUUAUUUUAAGCUGUAUUUAGCUACACUAUGACCUCAAAUUCAUAACUAUCUAUAAAUGUGAAAAACUGCGUCAAUUUAGGCAAUAUUUGUGCAAUAAUCUAAAUGUAACUUGCUUCAUGUUUAUGGAAAUACAGCUUUAUUAAAUAGUUAGGGACUUUGAUCAAAAGGCUGGGAAACUGGUGGGCGAAAUACCAUGGGAGAAACACUUUUCGUUACUUUUAUCCCCAAUUAGAAUGAAAACACCUUUGAAAUAAUAUUAUCUAGCUUUUCAUUCACUUUAAUACUCAUUGGGAAAAAUUUUUCUCAAAGCUUAAAUACUCCCCACAAACUCAUUUUUUAUAAGAAAUAACUAAAUCUGCCUUUUUUCAUCAAUUUGGAGAUAAAAUGAGGAUCAAGUAUUAUUCCAGUGCCAUCAUCUGCCAUUUUUUCCUACGAAAUUUCUUAUUUUCUCAACUGUACACAUCCUGAAUGGUUAACAUCACAAUCUUUAAAAAGAAAAUCGUAUAAAUGGAAAGAAAAUGGCGUCUGAUAUUAUUCCUACAUAUACAGCGCUCUAAUAAUACACAUACUCAGAGAUUACGCAGAGUGAUUGGUAUAUAAAGUAAUUCUUUUGUUUUUUAUAAAAAAAUUUGUUUUUUAUAGUGCAAUUUUAAAAAUUUUGUGUAUAGAGGGUGUCUCAGAAUUAUCACUCAUGGAUGAAGUGAUAUAGAAAAAAAGAACCUACACUUAUUGAGGUUAAGAAUUACCUUCUGGUACACUUUCUAAAAAUUAUCCUUCUCCGAAAAGAAAUAAAAGUCUGGUCGUUAAAAGACAAGCUGGGUUGGGGAUACCAAACCGAUCUUUUGUUUUUCGGCAACGAGGCUGUCAUUUUUCUUCGUAGAAAGAUGAUUCUCAAGAAAAUUUUUACUUC